UUUUCCUUUGUUUUUAGCUGCCCCCACCAAAUUAUGCCAGUUUCACUAGCACCCCAGCUGAGAUCAAACAAACUGGUCCCUCAGGUAGCAUAAUGAAAGGUCAGGAAUGUUCCACUCCUCCUCCUCCUUUCUGGAAAAGAAGCACGGAUUUAUGCACCUUUUCCCAGUACCAAAGAGCUGUGCCAGGCAACUGCAAGCUGCCUGUUUCUCUUCUUUUGCUUUUAGCUGCCCCAAGGGUAUGAACUACGCUCUUGUCUUCCCAUCCCUACCUAACACAAGAAAUCACAAGCUAAGGCAAUGUCUUGGUGCUGAGCUGAGCCCACUUGUGGGGAGGGACCAAUGCAGGUUCUACCAAGCCUUUAAUAAGUUUAUUCUCCUUUCCUCCUUCUAUCAUUAAACAUAUGACCACUAAGAGAAAGAGCAACUGAUGCUGAACUUUGAGGCACUUGAACAGUAUGUGUAUCUCAAAGGAAAAUCAGUACAGACCAUGUGUCUAAUCCCUAAUGUAAAAGAUCUGCUCAUUUUCUCCAGAGAAGAAUUUUUAAGCCUUCUGCCUGGAUAGGACAAUGCAGAGCUAACAGCAAUCUCAGAGGUGAACAAUUCAGUGAGUCCUCAUUGUUCAGAAGAAUGAGCUUUCAUGUAUUUCCCCAGUUUUCAGUAUAACCCUAAGCCUUGUACCUUGAUAUGUUGAUAUACCUAAAUCCAAAGCCUACUUGUUUCAA